AUUGUGAUUCCAUUUGAGGUGUCACACUUGGGGCACUAGGCACUCAAGCUUCAUGAAGACUUUCUACACCAAAGAGGUAUGUAUUCUAUCUUGCUAUAGUUAUUGUUUUGUAUGCUAGAUUAGGAUAAUACCUUGGAAGUUCUUAUUUGCAUGUAUAAUAGAGAAAACAUAGAUCCAAGGUAUUUAGGGUUGCAUGUACACUUAGGAAGUGUUAGAAUGCUCAAAACCCAACAGUGGUAUCAGAGCCACGGGUUGUUUUCUGUUAUAUUGAUGCAAAUAUUUUAUUUUCAAAGUUGAAAAAAAAAAAAAAAAAAAACAUGAAGUUUGUCAAAUUUUAAGAUAAUUACUUGUUCUUGUGAAAAACUAAUUAUUUGUAAAAUUUGAAUAAUUUGCUUUAUGAGUUGAAUUAGGUCAAAUUUAAUAAAAGAUAAAAUAAUAUGAUUAUUUUAUUAGUUUUAAAAGUUUGAUCUAAAGAGUUUUAUUUUUUGAAACCUCCAUAAGUUAUGGAUAUGAAAAGGUUUUAAAAAAAAAAUUGAUUCAAAGUUUUUUUGGAGUUACAAAAUUUGGUGUUAAUGUUUUAAAGGAUUCCAUAACUUAAGAAUAAGUUAUGGAUCACCAAAAGUUUUUUGUGUUACCUUGUUUUAUGAGUGAAUUUAGAUUAAUGAAUAAAAUUAUGUGAUAGUUGGUUUUAAUCCAAAUUAAUCUAAGAAUUGAUUCUAAAAUGUGUUUUUGUAACUUGUCCUCAAGUUAUAUGAAAAGUCACAUUUAAGAAUCAUAAAACUCAUAAAAAUUGGCAAAGGUUACAAAAAUGAAGAGUCUAGUUCUAAUUAAAUGGUUUUAUGACUCCAUAACUUGUCCUCAAGUUAUGGAGGACCAAGAGUCUCUUCAUUUAAUAAAAUAAAAUAAAAAAAAAAAAAGUGUAACCUUAAUUAAUUCCAUAAGUUAUAAAAUAAAGAAAAGUUAAUUCUUUUAUUAGUUUAAAGUCUUCCAUAACUUGUCCUCAAGUUAUGGAACUUGAAGAGUUUUUGGAUUAAAACUACUUUAAACACAUAAGUUAUGGAAUUAAUUAGUUUUGAAUAGUUUCAAAACUUGCCCUCAAGUUUUGGAAUUUGUAAAGUUUUCACUUAUGAAUACUUUAAUUCCAAGUUAGCCCUUAGAAUUUUAAAAGUUAAAAUUCAACCCUUAUACUUUAUAAUAUUAUAAGUUAAUAAUAUAUAUAUGUAUAAGAGUAAAGUCAGUCUUACCGCUAGUACGCCUCAUUCACGAAGCCGGUCUAUAAGGUGGGUAUAAGGUUGUUGCCUAUAAAAUGGCAACUUAAUGGGUGUCCACUCUCACCCACCGCUUGCUUGACUGGUGGAGGGUCGUUAGCCGAACGGGUUUGACAGGACUAGAAUUCUCCCUUCAUUAAAAGUAUUAAUGAUAAUACUAAGUAACUAAACUCUUAAUAAUACCCAAUCUUAGUUACUUAGGAAAAAUGUGAAUAAGGUGCUAAUCCAUGAAAUUACACUUUACACUUUGUCUAAGUCGUUAGUGGAGCGUGUGUGGUUAACCGGCACACUAACUUGGACUUAACAAGGUAGGUAAAGGGUGACUUAAUAUUUAUCAUAGUAUCGAUGGAGCGUGUGUGGUUAACCGGCACAUCGAUUGAGGGGUAAUUUAUUAAGGGUACCAAGUGAUUUGCAUGGUUACUUCACACCUUGUUUUGUGAUCCUCGGCAUCCCAGUCACAAAACCUGAAGGGCACACUCGAGAUUGAAACAUGCCUUUGAACAGUUCAAUGAAUCUCAAAGAUCUAGGAGUUUCAAAACCAAUUAAAACCUAAUAAUACAUUUCGUUUAUCUUGGUGGAAAUUGGUGAAUCGUCAUUCACCUACCUUCAAAUAUUUUAUAGCUUGGAUUACGGCAUACCUCUUCUAAGUUAUAAAAUAGUUUGUUGGGUCCUAGCCUUAAUAUUUCAUAUUGGGUGUCAUAUUAAGGACUUUAAAUCAACUAUCUUGAAUAUCUCCCAAAAGAUGUCUGGUUUAGACACCUAUGAUCUUCCCAAAUCUCUUGAAACAAGGUUUCCUAAUGAAGAUGAUGUCCCAUGGAUAUCAUACUUCUUUCUCCUCCUCCAAUUAUUCUCCCUAACCCACAAGUUCUUGAAAAGUUUAAGGUCACUCAAGCCCUAUUGGCAAGGCAAGGUCUAGGUGUGAUCACAUCUUGGAGAUGUAGUCACAUAUUGACAAGCCGGGAGAGUUGGGUGUCAAAGUCUUGAGAAAGUUGGUGGUUCAAUCACUUUCUAAGUCACAUAGUGAGUUCCUUUGGGACACCUAUGAAACAGACUAUGACAAGACCCUUAAUGAUCUUAUCUAUUUGCUAAGAUCAACUUCCUAAAACUUUAUGGACAUUGACAAUGAUGACAUUGGAUAUCCAGUAAAGCAUUCUCUUCCCAAUGGAAAGGGAUCGGCCAUAGUCAACUCGGUUGACCAAAUGGUAAAGAGAAAAGCUAAGUCUGUGAUAGUCUCGUGUACCAUUAUCAAAGGGUCCAUAUGUUUAUAUUGCCAAAGGAAGGGGCAUUGGUUGCGAAGCUGCCAAAUUUACCUAAGGAUGUUAAAGUCAAUAAGUUUGACUCUACUUCAGGUAAAGUCCACUAUCUAACUCUGUUAAGUUUCUAUUCUGAGAUUCCUGAUACAUGAUGUGACUGGGUCACAUGGUGAUGUUUUAAGAAUCAAAGAAAAGUGAAGAAACUUAAAGAAAGAAUAUGCUGAAUCUGAUGGCGUAGAUGGAUUUCUAUCGCAUAGUUUGAAGAUCGGAUUCUUGAGCAACUUCUUAGGAGUUAUGAGAUAUUGCUUAGGAAUAGAUAACAACAAGUUUUCAUAUGGAUUGUAAGGAUAAGUUUUUCCGCAAAGUUUUAAAAUAAAAGAAAAAUUUUUUGAUUUUAUUUAUUUUAAAAUAUCCUUACAAUGGCUUUUGAGGAAAAAUUGUUGCUUAUAUGAUUCCAUUAAGAGCAAGAGUGGAAAUAUGAAAUUGAUUCUUUCAUUUGUGGUAAUGUCUAGAUUUACCAAAUAAGGAAAGAUUCUCAUCACCCAAGUUUCAAUUGGACCGGAACUUGGAAUCAUGCAAGUUGUAUAGCAUGAUGAAUGAGAACUUUCAAGUUUUGGAAAAUUAAGACUAAUUACUCGGCCACAUGGAUGUGUGAGUCAAGUAAAGGACUAAGGGAUCGAGUACACAUUCUUGUGCACUGAUUAAGUCCACCACAAAAGAUUGAUAAGACUAUUCGUCAUAGUUUACUAAAGCUCAGUAAAUAUGAUUAUACUUACAAGCUUAAGUGUAACUCUGAGACAUUGGAAAAGGUUCCAAUGUAUGGCAGGGCGAAUAAGAAGAAUCAAAUUAGGCAGAAGGAUAAAAGUUUCUCAAAUCUGAAAAGAUGGGAGAGUACUUUAGUAUCAGUUUUGUGAUCAUCUUAAUGAUUAAGAAACCAUAUCAAAAUUAGUUCUCUAAGGAAAUCUUAGUGCAUUCUUAUGACUAAGAAGAGGAACUUGAAUUGUUGAAAUGGUUAAAUCAAGAAGAUGAGUCAUACUUCGUUCCAAUACAAGUCUUAGAGUCAUACUCCAAGAUUGUCAUUUGAGUGACAUGUCUUAAAGAAGGUUUAAAACACUUGUCAAAUGUAAGAGUAAAAGUUUUCUACUCUUGUACAUUUGAAAUUGGUAAGUUGUGAUGUUUUGGAUAAAACAAAGACCAACUUAGGCCAAUUGGGUAAAGUGUUUUUCUUGAUUAGAAUCCGCACUAUCUCUUGGAUGUUUGACAAGGGAGUCUUAUAGGUCAAGAGGACAGUGGGAGUCUUAAAGGUCUUGAAAGUCUCAAGAACUAAUCAAGAAUAAAACCUGAAGUUCUUCACUAGCACACAACUUGAGGUUCAUAACCUAUCGUGUUGACAUAUUCUGUGCCCAUUCCAGUUAAAGUUGGCUUUGCAUAUGAGUUCUUAGAGUUCUCAAUUUGUUGCACAACAACUUGGAAGCAAUGGCAGGCCCUUGAGCUGCCAGGUGGCAAGAAAUUAAGAUUGAGUUCAGUCCAUAUGAGUUUGGAUUUGUCAUUAUCCUUGUCUUGUGACUAUGGUUUUGACAAUUCACAUGGAUAAGAACACAUACACCAUUAAAUCUAAGUGUCAUAAGGUUUCUCUCCGAUUCAUGAAAAUGAUGGUGAGGAAACACUUUCACUAAGUAGAUUUUAGCUAGAUAGCAAUUGUGAUAUUUGCAUUCUCAAAGUCGUUAGUGGAGCGCGUGUGGUUAACCGGCACACUAAUUUGGACUUGUGAGAAGUGGCAAAAAGGUCUAAACAUUAUGAUUACGGCAUCCCUCUUCAUAAUUGUUUAGAUACACAAGUGUGCUAUCUAAGGGAAGGUGUAUGAUUUUGAUACAGUUUUAUCAAAACAAUCUAGUAUCAGAAAUCUGAACUUUGGUAAGAAAGUCAAUGAAGUAUUGAUUUCUAGAAGUCCAGCUGAUUUCUGAGUACAUGUCAAAGCUAGUGGGAGCAUAAGUGUUAUGCUAAUAAUCAUCAUGUUAGUGGGAGCAUGAUAAUUAUGAUAAGUAUUGCAAGUUAGCAAUGUUAAUUAUAGAAAACAAAAGUUUCAAUUGGGAAAAAGUUGUUUUGCUAUAAUUAAGGGAGAGGAAAUUAUACUUCAUCUCAAAUCUAUAAGCUUAGAUCGUGAGGUUUUAAUCAUUUAGUCAAGGAUAUAUAUGAAUUUCAUGUUGGAAUGGCUCAACAUAAGGAAAUUCUGUAUAUGGGUCCAUUAUUUGCGUUCUAAAAUUCGAUUAUGAUUACGGCAUCCCUUUUCAUAAUCUGAAUUAUGAGAACUUGGCAAAUUGAAAUGGAAAUAUUAUAGCAAAAGACUGGUUUAGUCUUUAUGUGAGACAUCAUGAAUCGUGUCCCAUAUGCUUCGGAUAUAGGAUCGAUUACAUGUGCUAUAUUCAUCCGUUCUAAAAUUUUCCAAAUGCCUGGGGCAUUAAGAAGGGAAAAGGUUUAGAACUGGAUAUGACUAAAAGGAUUAAACAAUUGUCGAGGACAAUCUAAGGUUUACCAAAGAUUGGUUGCUCAAGGACAGUUGGAAGUAUAGUGAUAAUUCUGGAAGGACCAUAUUGACAUAAUCUGUAAGGAGGCAACUCUUGUUCAGAAGUGAUAGUCAAAAUGGAAUCUGGAAAUGUUUCAAAGUUAGAAUUUUCAAUCUGUUUAAGAUUAGGAAACUUAAUGCAAGAAGGAUGUUUCCAAGGAGCUGAUCUCCUUUGGAAUACUCUGUAAUGAUUGUUGUCAAGUCUUUCUGACUUUGUGCAUAAUCAUUACAAGAGGAUCAAUGCAUAUAAGUUUAGAAUCUAACAGAUUUCAGUAAAUGGCAUGAAUUUGGAAUUCUUGCAUUUGCAGUAAGGAUUUGGGAGUGUGAAAAGAGAAUCAUUGAAGUUAUGUUCAAUUGAUCUAGUUCACAAAGUAAAGAUCAUAGACAAACAUAGUAUGCAUACUUGGUGUGUGGCAUGACUAGUGUUUAAGAAAACAUAGUGUACAUGCUUGGAGCAUGGGACAACUAUUGUUUUAAAUUCAAGAAUAAAGUUGAUAGCUGAAACAGUAUACAAUGAAUAAUGUGUAAUCAUAUGGUGAUAAAUAAAAGGUGUUUUAUUUAUGUUCAUAAGUUUUGAUACCAUAUUGGAUUCAAUUAUUAUUGUGUUUCACUUUGCAUGUUUUGACUUCCCGAAUAAACUAGGUUAUUCUUCCGGAAUGACUAAGUUAUUCAAACCAUCCACAGUCGGUCAUAUGUUGGAAGUAGAUAUGAAUUAAGACUGUCAUGGGUUGGCUUGUAGAGGUCUAAGGUGUUGGACAAAGGGCUACAACACUCAUGAGUGCUCAUAAGUUCUGAGUAUUGGAUUCAACCCGCGCUCAUUGGAAUCACUUCAUGGAUUUUAUCACGAGUGAUCAUGAGACGAUAAUAUCUUAUAUUCUUCAAACCUAGAGAUAUGAGUUGUUACUAUGAGUUGAUAGUACAUUGAUUGCACGAAAACGCAUUUGGUAACUCGGUGCUAUAAAACGUGCCUUUGUGUAUGAUUCAACAAGUAGUAGAACAAGCCAUAUGAGUCGAAGUUUAUCCAUUCCUUUUACCUUCGGGAUAAAAGCGAUAUCUGUGGGCCCCUCGAUGAUUUGAUGAUGACAAAUGGAAGUGCUCGGCCGGGCCAGGACUGAUUUGAUUUGUUCAAUUAGUCAGUCGUCAUAAAUCGGAAAUCGGGAAACAACAAAUGGACAGAGAGAAUGAUUAUAAUCCAUGUCUCAGUCCAUAUGAUAUCUAGAAUGGAGGAAUAUAUGAUCCCUUAUCUAAUGGACAAGUCAUUGACAAAGGUCAGAGUUCAUCUACAAGGUCAGAGUUCGACAGAAGCUUUUGAGAGCUACGAUUGCCAGUUGGUUCCUGAAGUCAUACGCAAUAAUAGUUUUAGACUUAUCCAAGUGGGAGACUGUUGGAUUAAUGUCUAAGUCCAUAACUAUAAUUGGUAAGACUUGACCCGACCCGGCAUGGUCCAUUUGGGUUGCAUGGCAUCAUGCACUUGGAUAGACUAUAAUGAGAGAAAUAAGACACUUAUGGUUAUUAAUAUAUUAUAAGUUCUAGUAUAUUAAUAAUAAGAAUAAUAAGAUUAUUUAAUUAGUAUUGAUCAAGAAUUAAUCUAGGAUUAAUUAAGUGAUCAAAAGAAGACUAAUUAAAUAUAUGGGUUGAUUGUGUAAAUCAUCCAUACUUGUAUAGUGGGCUAAUGCUCCAUGGAUAAUCAAGUUGGGCUAAAACCCAUAGGAUGGUCCAUGGAUGCUCCAUGGUGUAUUUGUACCCAUGGAUCAUGGAAAUGAAAGGCCAUGUCAAUUAGGGUUUACAUGGUGUAACCCUAACUAUAUAAGCAUCUUAUUCUUGACCAAAAUCGGCCACUAGUGUGUGAAGAAAAAGGGCUAGCCGAUUUUCAUGAGUGUGGUUUUCUCUCAAGUCAUUCCAUGUGUAUUUGGUGUUGUGUGAACCAUUUGAGGUGUCACACUUGGGGCACUAGGCACUCAAGCUUCAUGAAGACUUUCUACAUCAAAGAGGUAUGUAUUCUAUCUUGCUAUAGUUAUUGUUUUGUAUGCUAGAUUAGGAUAAUACCUUGGAUGUUCUUAUUUGCAUGUAUAAUAGAGAAAACAUAGAUCCAAGGUAUUUAGGGUUGCAUGUACAC
rnacentral:lncRNA from 1 species